rnacentral:rRNA from 1 species
AUAUCAAUAAGCGGAGGAAAAGAAACUAACCAGGAUUCCCUUAGUAACUGCGAGUGAAGUGGGAAGAGCUCAAAUUUGUAAUCUGGCGGCCUUUGGACGUCCGAGUUGUAAUCUAAAGAAGUGCUACCUGUGCUGGACCGUGUACAAGUCUUCUGGAAUGGAGCAUCACAGAGGGUGAGAAUCCCGUCUUUGACAUGGACUGCCAGUGCUCAAUAGGUGUGCUCUCAAAGAGUCGAGUUGUUUGGGAAUGCAGCUCAAAAUGGGUGGUAAAUGCCAUCUAAAGCUAAAUAUUGGCGAGAGACCGAUAGCGAACAAGUACCGUGAGGGAAAGAUGAAAAGAACUUUGGAAAGAGAGUUAAACAGUAC